ACAACAUGGAAAAAAAAGUCUUCUUCAGUUUCUCAGAGACACGUUGGCCACCAGUCUAAACAGAGACACAUUGGCUACCAGUCUAAAUAGGUUUUGUUUCUGUGUUGUUUUGUUUUGCUUUGUUUUUGGUCUGGGCAUUUGUCGAAGUUCUGAGGAUCCUGUUACAAAUAACCUCGUGCAGCUUUCUUUGUAUCUUUUUGAAAUAUGAUCUUUCUAUAGUUUUCUUCUAACCUCUAGCCAAAAAGAAAUGUUUCUAUAUCACUGAAGGCAACGGUCUUGACUUAAAGCUGCCUCAUGAGAGUCUACUUUUGCCAAGUACUGAGAAGUGGUUCCACUGGCCUAUCCACCUCCCACCUCGUUUCAGAGGCCUAAACUUUGGAAUGGAUAGACUAAGCACAUCAGUUUGUUUGGGGAAGACUAGAAAGCCAGAAAUAGAGACGAGAAUACAGAACUCGGGCCCAGGGAAAUGGCAGAACCACAGGAGUGGACCAGAGCCUAUGCCUAUAACCCAAAGCCUGUCAACAAAUAAUCACAUCGUGGCAUGGGUGUGUACUUCCUUCCUGUCUGUCUCCAAUCAAGUAAAGGACUGAUUUAAAGAGAAAUGUUUCUAAAACAUGACCUGUGUCCAGUGGAGAUUGUGGAAUAAAGAGAUGAGUGCCAGACCCACCUCCCUGGAGCAUUCUAUACAUAAAGGACUUGAAGUGGUUACCAGUGAUAAGAGGAUGCAGAGAGCAGCUUGGCCUUCCAGAUUCUGGCAGUUCUUCUCAAGACUCAGGUGGACCCCAUGGAAGUUAGCUGAAUUCGAAUUACCUAGAAAAUACACCAGCCCAAGUAAAUCAGCUACCAAUCAGAGUCAUCAUAUCAGUAAGACUACCGGGGAGUGUGUGAGAAAGGUCAUCCAGAAGAAAAUGAAUCUCUUGUAUUAGAAAGAAAUACAGUGGAAGUUUUCCAAGACAGCCUCAAAAAUUCACAAAAGAGCUUUAUAAAGCAGAACACUGAAGAGGUUUCACACCUCUUUAGUGGAACCACAGGGUCCUUGCUCCUCCUUCCCUGUGCUUUCUUUUGUCAUUUUGGGACCAGGAGAUUAAAAGCAAAUAAGGAGAAAAAGUAAAGGUGAAAAUGAGCUAAACAUGAUAAUCCUAUCAUGCCCACUCCCUCCCCACUGCAGUCUCAUAAAACCCAAGUCAGGAACAACUGAGGUUUGAACAUUAGACUUGACUAUGCCUCUUUAACAUCUGUGACUGCUGCAGCGUGUUAGUAAAUGAGGGUAUGCAGAAAACUCAGAGAUAUUCCUGAGAUUCUGAGGAAUCUCAGGGUGAUUUGACAGAAGGUGAUUUGACAAAACACACUUAAAAGACACGUGAGUAAAACAAAAAUUAAACAUGACUUCUGCUAGCUUACUUCACCUCGUUCAAUAAGUCGGCUUUAAAUAUGAAAGAACAACUGAAAAAGACAAACUGGCUCUCAUUCUGUGAAGUAUGACCGUAAAUAAACUGAAUUUGUAAACAUAUUUAAAGAAAGAAUAGGCCAACAAUGAGAAAUGAAGAUGGACAUGCAUGAGAUAAAAUAUUUGCAAAUGAUAUUAGAAGACAAUAUUUCCAAGAAGAUAAGAGAGAGAAAAGAUGGGGCAGGGGUAUGUAAUUAAAUAAAUAAUUACAUAGAAAACUGAUUAUAUCUACAUUUUAUCAAGUGCUUACUAUAUGUGAGGCACUCUGCUAUGCAUUAUGAUGGAUUUAAAGCUAUGAAAAAUAACACAAAGUAAUUAUUCUUAUUCCCAUUGUACAAAAUAGGAAACCGAGUCACAGAGAGAUAAGCCAGAGUGAAGGCUGGUAAAUGUCAGCAGAGACGCAUACAAAGAAAUAAUAAUUAAAAACUUAUUUUUUGAAACAAACUACAUGAGUGCCAGGUCUUAAGAGAACAGAACAGAGACAUUGAAUUCUCCUUAAAAAGGAUUUAGUUUGGCCUUUUGGCCAAUGCGUUUAAUCAAGCUAACCUCAUUUUUCAUUUCACUGAGUCUGUUGGAAAUUAAGCUUGAUCUCAUUAAUGUUGUUUAAGCUGAAUACUUUUGGUGAAAAAAUAACUCCAUUAAGCCAUAAAGACACAAUUAGUGAAAUGUAUUAAAUGUGAUUACAAUGUGACAGAUUAUUUCUAUAAGCAUACCAAGCUUAUAGACUCCAAUGAAUAUUGAACUUUACAAUAUUAACUUUGGAGGAAUAGACCAUAUUGCAAUGAAGCUCUUCUGGUUGAAAACUUUUUUGCCUUCUCUUCAUUUUGAAUUCAGUUCAGAGUGGUUUUCAAGGCAUAUUAAAAAUAUCUUUCUAGAAAAAUAAUAUUUAACCCAGAAUUGUCCUGAAAUGCUUUUUGUGUGUUUCUUGAAAUUGAAUCCAUUUUUUACUUAGAAAACUAUGUAAAUAUUGAAGGCAUUUAUAAGACUGAUAUGUGCUUUCUAAAGAGAUAUUUAAGAGAAAUAUUCCACAAAUAGUUUGAACAAUGGUAGCAUCACCAAUAGAAGCUUAUAGCCUACCAGCUAAUUACUCUGAAAAGAAAGCACUCAGAACAUAUUUGAAAAAUAUCAGCCAUGGAAUUUUAUAUUUAAAAUUUAGCAAUAAUUUACUUAUUGAGUAAUAUUAAAGGCAAGUUUAUGCAUCUAAUAAUAAUGGAUUGAUUCCAAUCAAGAGCUUCGCUACAUUAAGAUUAUAACAUUAGACCAGAAAUGUACUUUGAGUUCACAUAUCACAUGUAUAAACAAAGAAAAUCUUGACUUUAGAAAGGAAAAUGUUAUGCACUAUUGUGGUGUCUGCAGAAUUACAUGCAAUUGCACACAAUUGGCAACAAUUUGGUGAAAUGUGAAACUACUGUAGCUUUAUUUAUGACCACUUUGUGAAUAUCAUAUGGUCAUUUUUAAGAAGAAAAAAUGACACAUGGGAAGUUGAAUGGCAGAAAAUGCAUAAAACAUUUAAAGGGUGAUUGGUUUGCGAGACAGAUUUAUGGAUAAUUUUCCUUUUCAUUUUUUUUAUUUUCUUUCCAUAUUUUUCCUCAUGUUUUCAAAUCUUUCAAUGUGGUCCAGGAUCAUGUACUACCAAAAUGAAAAAAUAUUAAUAUUCAAUACCGAAAUAAAAAUAAAAGGGAUGUAAUUACACAGGCUGUGACUACUAGGAAGUGAAAAAGUUGAGGGCCACUUAAAGGUCACCUAUCACAGUCUGUCCUUUGGCACCCAUGAGUCAUGUCAUUCCAAUAUCCAAAAUAUAUUCAGACCCUUCCAAGGUUUUCAAAAAAUCUGCUCUAAUUAUAGUAUCUGCUUAAAACUGAGAAUCUCAUUUUCUAUAUUAGGUCUAGAUGUGAAUGAGACUUCCUGGUUCCUUAACUACUUCUUCUUGAGUGAAGUUUCACUUGUUCCCUCCCUUUGAAAUUAAAGAAUAUUAUGUAACUUUAAAGCCACUCAAUAGAAAGGGUGGAAUAGACAGAAGAUAACUAUUCCAGACAGUCUUGGAAUAGAAACAGAUGGAAACACAAAGGAAUCACUUUACAGAUGGGAACAGCUGAAAGCACAAAGGAAUCACUGACUCAUGUCAAUCCUGGUAUCCAGUUAGGCAAAUGCUGGAAGUUUUUGAAUAGGACGUAAGUCCCUGGAAUAAUUUUCCAUUGCUUUUGUGUUACCCUUUGAAUUCAUGAUUAUGCCGUCUGAGUUAUCCAACCUUCUCCAUGCUUCCUUUUGCAUGUGUUUGCUGCUGAGCAGGUCUUUCUGCCUGAUUUCUGCCAGUGUUAUUCAGAAGGUCCAAAGGACUCUUUCAGUCUGUGCUGUUUCUGUCUUCCUCAGUAAAUGCUAGUGAUAUUUCUGAAUAUCUAAUUCUUCCAACAAUGUGUGUGUCUUCUGUGAGCCUUCUUGGGAAAUACUCCAUUAGACAAAAACCUCAACUACAGGUCUUUUCUUCCUACCUUUGCCUUCUUCUGAGAUAGAAUGCCCUUAUCAUAAAAGCCCUCAUGUUGAAUUGACAGGGUCUAUGAUAUAUACCUUAUACCUUUAAAAUCUUAGGAAGAUUUCUGGUUUUGGCUUUAUUUUUAGACCAUGUUUUUCUUGCAGGGCUCUGGAUUUUAUCUUUGCUUGGAAAUCAUGUCUUGACUUUAUUACCAGACAGCUUCUGAAGAGGCUAUAUGAUAAUAUAUUGAUAAAGGAAAAACUUCAGCUGAAUUAAAUUUAAAUGAGUUUAAUUGAGCGAUGAAUGAUUCAUGAAUCAGGCAGUCCCCAGAAUCACAGCAGAUUCAGAGAGACUCCAGUGGUACCUUGUGGCCAGAACAAAUUUAUAGACAAAAAAGGGAAAGGACAUACAGAAAUUGGAAGUAAGGUACUGAAACAGCUGGAUUGGUUACAGGUUGGCCUUUGCCUUAUUUGAACACAGUUUGAACACUCAGCAUUGUAUAAGUGGUUGAAGUAUGGCAACUGAGAUUGGCCAAGACUCAGCUAUUGUUACAGGUGCAUACUCCUAAGUUAGGUUUUCAGUCUUGUCUACUUAUAUUAAGUUAUAUUACAGUUUGACCACAAAGAUUCAAAUAUAGAAGUAUAGAGUCCUUCUCAGGCUAUUUUUAGUUUGCUUUAACAAUAUGAAUGCUAUAAUAUAGUAUAUGAAGAAGAUUUUCAAAACUUUCAAGUUUAACUCUCUUUUAUUUAGUAGCUUUUCCUCUGAUUUAUCUGUCUUUUCUCACAUUUUAUUCUACAAAGUGAAAAGUCAGGUAACAUCUUCAAGAAAUUUUUCUCUUUUUUUUUUUUGAGACAGAGUCUCACUCUGUCACCCAGGUUGGAGUGCAGUAGCAUUAGCUCACUGCAGCCUCCACCUCCCGGGUUCAAGCAAUUCUCCUGCCUCAGCCUCCCCAGUAGCUGGGAUUACAGGCAUCUGCUGCCUAGCCCAGCUAAUUUUUGUAUUUUAGCAGAGAUGGGGUUUCCCCAUGUUGGCCAGGAUGGUCUUGAUCUCUUGACCUUCUGAUCGGCCCACCUCGGCCUCCCAAAGUGCUGGGAUUACAGGUGUGAGCCACCGUGCCUGGCCAAUAAUUUGUUUUAAAAUAUUAGAUGACCCAAUUCAUUAGGCACAUUCCUAGUUUACUAUACUUCAUGUAAAAUUUAUACCACCGCAUUACAAGGAUCCCCUUUGCUAUCAUUUCAAUAAGGUAGUUGUCACUGUCCAUUAAGCCCUCAUCAGCAUGUUCUUUGAGACUAAAAUCUACAGCAUGUCCUAGCUACUUCAACUUUUUGCAAACAAUUUCUUCAAAGCUCAUUGUUCAGUUCCAAAGCCACUUCCAUAUGUUAGGGGUUUGUUACUGCUACUUACUGGAAGCGAAACCUACAUUAGUUAUUUAUUACUACAUAAUGCAUUAUCAGCCAACUUUUAGUAUCUCACAAUUUCUGUGAGCUAGGGCCAGAAAUCCAGGUGUACGUUAUGAAACUGAAGAACUCAGCACAUAAAAAGUCUGUCCAAACUUCUGCUCUAAGAGAUGAGCAAACUUUAGCAUGGUUUCUUGCAGCAUAAGGCUGUGUCCCUAGGAUGACCCUGGUCUCCCUCCUCCCAAGUUAAAUCUCUGCCUGAGAAAGCUCAAUGAUACCAAGAGAAUUUGCUGUUUGUUCUAGCCAACACCUGACGAUAGGCCCCUGAUAUCCUUUUCUUAGAGCAUUUACUAAAAAGGACUUAGAAUCAUAAAUUCUUUAUCUACCACUUUGAGGUUUACGUGCAUCUCCUAUAACUCAGAAGUGUCUUUCUGAAGAACCUGAAAGCCAUUCCUUUGAAAUGUAUUCAUAAGAAAGGGUAGGGCUCUUGUCUUCCAGCCUUUGUGGGAGAAUUUGAUUCUUGACUUCAAUAAUUGCCAGCUAGCAAGCAGACACAGCUGGCCUAAUCCAUUAACACUGACCAAACCUUUGUAACUUUCAACUUCUCUGACUCUACUUGAUCCCUACUUGCCCACCUCCCACGUUCUCCCUUUAAAACACCCAGUCACCUCCGCACAAAUUGGAACCGAGCUGAGCUUUCCCCUCCUGUCAGUAGUUACUGAAUAAAAUGUUUUCAAUGCUUCAGCUAAUGUCUGGCUGUGUUUAUGUUUAACACUUAGCUGGGUGCCUCACAUAGUUCUCUCAUGAGGUUAUUGUUGCCUGGAGCUGUCGUUUCAUUAGAGAUUCAACUGAAUGUGUGUGGGAGGAGGGAUGGUCUGAGUUGAAAUUCAUUCAUGUAUUUUUGGCUCUUCCUUGCCUUUUGUUUCUUGACAUGAAAUAUGGCAUCCCCUGGGGUGAGAAUUCUGAGAAAGUACAGGUUAAAGAGUGUCUAAGGGCUCCAUUGUAUGCCCAAAAUGGAAGCCAGUCUAAUUUUACAAGUGACAUCCCAUACCUUCUGCCUUCUUCUGUUAGCAGUGAGUAGAAAGUAUGUAUCAUACUCAAGAAGGGAGCAUGAAAAACUAGAGGGUGGGUGUCACUGAGAGCUUUCUUAGAGGCUGGUUACCACUAUAACCACUCCAUCUAAUACAUUCACUUCUUGUACUUCGUGUAUGGAAGACAUAACAUAACUCACCUUAACGCAGUUGAGAGUCACUGGCGCUUGUUUCUAGAAACAACUGAGUAGCAACUCCAAGUUAUACCACAUAUUUACACCAUAAAUAACUCACCAAUUUGCUUAAUUAAAAUGAUACAAACAAGUAGAAAAUUGAAAACAAACAUGAAAAGUUUUUGGUAGCAAAUAUAGUUCUUAUAAUUACAAAAUCUUAAUGCCA
rnacentral:lncRNA from 1 species